rnacentral:lncRNA from 10 species
AUUAGACAGGCUGUGGGGCUGUCCUGAAACUCUGCGCUUGCCCAGUGCCUUUGGAUGGGUGCCCUGGGAAGGCUGGAAGCUGGGCGGGCCCUGCAGAAGAGGAUGGAGCCACAGCUUUGCUGAUUCCAGUGAAGCCCAAGGAAGGGCUCAGCUAUCCAGGAAACCCUCCAGGGGAAAAGGAUUGGGUUCUGGAAUCACAAAGCCCAGGGUCUUAAUCACAGCUCUACUGCUUACAAGCUUCGGACAUUGAGUUGAACUCUUGACAGUCUGAGGCCCAGUCUCCAUAUCCGUAAAAAGGGAAUAAUGAGGCCUUCUUAGGUUUGCUGGGGGUGUUUGAACAGGAAGCUCUGGGCCCAGGCUCCAUUCGGACCUCCCAUUUUUCUACCCACAAACACCCCUCCCCAUGGAAUAGUCUGUGCCAGGCUAAGCAGGGCACAGUGCUUGGGCCAAAGGCACACAGAGGAAGUCCCCCCUGGAAAACCUUGGAAGAAAGAAAUGGAUGGCCCCAGAGGACACAGCGAUGAUGCUGACAAUGGACAGAAAACUGCUCAGAGAAAGAUCUUUAUGUGUCAAUGGUAA